rnacentral:rRNA from 1 species
UACGGGGGGGGCAAGCGUUGUUCGGAAUUACUGGGCGUAAAGGGCUCGUAGGCGGCCAACUAAGUCGGACGUGAAAUCCCCAGGCUCAACCUGGGAACUGCGUCCGAUACUGGAUGGCUUGAAUUCGGGAGAGGGAUGCAGAAUUCCAGGUGUAGCGGUGAAAUGCGUAGAUAUCUGGAGGAAUACCGGUGGCGAAGGCGGCAUCCUGGACCGACAUUGACGCUGAGGCGCGAAAGCCAGGGGAGCGAACAGG